AUGCUACGUUCAUACACCACGAAAGCACCCGAUCCCAUCAGAACUCGGAAGUUAAACGUGGUUGGGCUCGACUAGUACUGGGUUGGAGGAUUACCUGAGUGGGAACCCCGACGUAGUGU
rnacentral:rRNA from 1 species